rnacentral:rRNA from 1 species
CACGUAGUUAGCCGUGGCUUAUUCAAGAGGUACCGUCUUCUGCUCUUCCCUCUUAAAAGAAGUUUACAACCCGAAAGCCUUCUUCCUUCACGCGGCGUUGCUGGGUCAGGCUUGUGCCCAUUGCCCAAUAUUCCCCACUGCUGCCUCCCGUAGGAGUCUGGGCCGUAUCUCAGUCCCAAUGUGGCCGGUCAACCUCUCAGUCCGGCUACUGAUCGUCGCCUAGGUGGGCCGUUACCCCGCCUACCAGUCUAAUCAGACGCGAGGCCAUCUUCCAGCGAUAAAUCUUUGGUGUCUCGAUGAUGCCAUACGAAACACAUCAUGCGGUAUUAGCAGUCGUUUACCAACUGUUCGUACCCCCUUGUGGAAGGUCAGGUUCCCUCACGCCGUUAACUCCACC